UACGAAGGGUGCAAGCGUUACUCGGAAUUACUGGGCGUAAAGCGUGCGUAGGUGGUUUGUUAAGUCUGAUGUGAAAUCCCCGGGCUCAACCUGGGAAUGGCAUUGGAUACUGGCAGGCUAGAGUGCGGUAGAGGGUGGUGGAAUUCCCGGUGUAGCAGUGAAAUGCGUAGAGAUCGGGAGGAACAUCUGUGGCGAAGGCGGCCAUCUGGACCAGCACUGACACUGAGGCACGAAAGCGUGGGGAGCAAACAGG
rnacentral:rRNA from 1 species